UCCGCGGUAGCUCAAUGGUAGAGCAGAGGACUGUUAAUCCUUUGGUUGCAGGUUCGAAUCCUGCCCGCGGAGCCA
rnacentral:tRNA from 1 species